AUCAGUCCAGGUGCCUCUGAAAAUCUUAUACUCGGAGGGAGCUGAAGGUGGCAGGAUCAUCAUUGCCUCAUCUGUAAGCGAAACUCCCGAACUCUUGCACAGAUCCCGUGAGGUCACAUCCAGCAGUUGCUCUGUAAUCUCCUGCCCGUGUCCUGAACGUUCCUGGCCUACUAAGCUUAUGAGAAGCUCCAUUCAUGGCAGCCAAUCAAUCAUCUCUGGUUCUUUGUGAAGCUGUAGUCAUC
rnacentral:lncRNA from 1 species